GGAGUUGUUUUGCUCGAGAAAUAGACGGAAGUGACCGUUUACAUAUAGUUUUAGAUGACAGUUAUUACUUACACGCAUCAUCUAAAAUGCGAGAGAUACAAGGCAGAUUUGGUCGUUAUAAAUUUUAAA